UAGGGAAUAUUAGAAAUGGACGAAAGUCUGAUCUAGCAACACCGCGUGUGCGAAGAAGGCCUUCGGGUUGUAAAGCACUUUUUGGAAGGAUUAGGAAGGAAUGUACUUCCAGAAUAAGUCUCGGCUAACUACGUGCCAGCAGCCGCGGUAACACGUAGGAGGCAAACGUUAUCCGGAUUUACUGGGCGUAAAGCGCGUGUAGGUGGUUCUGUAAGUAGGGCGUGAAAGCUCCUGGCUCAACUGGGAGAGGCCGUUCUAAACUGCAGAGCUAGAGGAUGGUAGAGGGAGGUGGAAUUCCGGGUGUAGCGGUGGAAUGCGCAGAUGUCCGGAGGAACACCAGUGGCGAAAGCGGCCUCCUGGACCAUUCAUGACACUCAGACGCGAAAGCGAGGGUAGCAAACA
rnacentral:rRNA from 1 species